rnacentral:rRNA from 1 species
UGAGGAAUAUUGCGCAAUGGGCGAAAGCCUGACGCAGCGACGCCGCGUGUGGGAUGAAGGAGCUUUGCUUUGUAAACCACUGUCGGACGGGAAGAAAAAGUUCCUACGGGGGCUUGGGACAGUACCGUCAGAGGAAGCACCGGCUAACUACGUGCCAGCAGCCGCGGUAAUACGUAGGGUGCGAGCGUUGUCCGGAAUUACUGGGUGUAAAGGGUGCGUAGGCGGGCAUGUGCGUCGGAGGUUAAAUACAACGGCUUAACCGUUGAACUGCCUUCGAAACGGCAUGUCUUGAAUGUGGGAGAGGAUGAUGGAAUUCCUGGUGUAGCGGUGAAAUGCGUAGAUAUCAGGAGGAACACCGGUGGCGAAGGCGGUCAUCUGGCCCACUAUUGACGCUGAGGCACGAAAGCGUGGGGAGCAAACAGGAUUAGAUACCCUGGUAGUCCACGCCCUAAACGAUGUAUGCUUGGUGUUGGUUGCGAAAGCAAUCAGUGCCGGAGGUAACCCGUUAAGCAUACC